GAUGAACGCUGGCGGCGUGCUUAACACAUGCAAGUCGAACGGAGAACCCUUGACGGAGUUUUCGGACAACGGAUAGGAAUUCUUAGUGGCGGACGGGUGAGUAACGCGUGAGGAACCUGCCUUGGAGAGGGGAAUAACACAGAGAAAUUUGUGCUAAUACCGCAUGAUGCAGUUGGGUCGCAUGGCUCUGACUGCCAAAGAUUUUAUCGCUCUGAGAUGGCCUCGCGUCUGAUUAGCUAGUUGGUGGGGCAACGGCCCACCAAGGCGACGAUCAGUAGCCGGACUGAGAGGUUGACCGGCCACAUUGGGACUGAGACACGGCCCAGACUCCUACGGGAGGCAGCAGUGGGGAAUAUUGGGCAAUGGGCGCAAGCCUGACCCAGCAACGCCGCGUGAAGGAAGAAGGCUUUCGGGUUGUAAACUUCUUUUAUUAAGGACGAAGCAAUGACGGUACUUAAUGAAUAAGCUCCGGCUAA
rnacentral:rRNA from 1 species